rnacentral:rRNA from 1 species
ACUGGAUAUGAGCUCCUGCCGCAUGGUGGGGGUUGGAAAGAUUUUUUGGUUGGGGAUGGGCUCGCGGCCUAUCAGCUUGUUGGUGAGGUAAUGGCUCACCAAGGCGUCGACGGGUAGCCGGCCUGAGAGGGUGACCGGCCACACUGGGACUGAGACACGGCCCAGACUCCUACGGGAGGCAGCAGUGGGGAAUAUUGCACAAUGGGCGGAAGCCUGAUGCAGCAACGCCGCGUGAGGGAUGACGGCCUUCGGGUUGUAAACCUCUUUUAGCAGGGAAGAAGCGAAAGUGACGGUACCUGCAGAAAAAGCACCGGCUAACUACGUGCCAGCAGCCGCGGUAAUACGUAGGGUGCAAGCGUUAUCCGGAAUUAUUGGGCGUAAAGAGCUCGUAGGCGGUCUGUCGCGUCUGCUGUGAAAUCCCGAGGCUCAACCUCGGGCCUGCAGUGGGUACGGGCAGACUAGAGUGCGGUAGGGGAGAUUGGAAUUCCUGGUGUAGCGGUGGAAUGCGCAGAUAUCAGGAGGAACACCGAUGGCGAAGGCAGAUCUCUGGGCCGUAACUGACGCUGAGGAGCGAAAGGGUGGGGAGCAAACAGGCUUAGAUACCCUGGUAGUCCACCCCGUAAACGUUGGGAACUAGUUGUGGGGUCCAUUCCACGGAUUCCGUGACGAAGCUAACGCAUUAAGUUCCCCGCCUGGGGAGUACGGCCGCAAGGCUAAAACUCAAAGGAAUUGACGGGGACCCGCACAAGCGGCGGAGCAUGCGGAUUAAUUCGAUGCAACGCGAAGAACCUUACCAAGGCUUGACAUAUACCGGAAACGGCCAGAGAUGGUCGCCCCGCAAGGUCGGUAUACAGGUGGUGCAUGGUUGUCGUCAGCUCGUGUCGUGAGAUGUUGGGUUAAGUCCCGCAACGAGCGCAACCCUCGUUCUAUGUUGCCAGCACGUAAUGGUGGGAACUCAUGGGAUACUGCCGGGGUCAACUCGGAGGAAGGUGGGGAUGACGUCAAAUCAUCAUGCCCCUUAUGUCUUGGGCUUCACGCAUGCUACAAUGGCCGGUACAAAGGGCUGCGAUACCGUAAGGUGGAGCGAAUCCCAAAAAGCCGGUCCCAGUUCGGAUUGAGGUCUGCAACUCGACCUCAUGAAGUCGGAGUCGCUAGUAAUCGCAGAUCAGCAACGCUGCGGUGAAUACGUUCCCGGGUCUUGUACACACCGCCCGUCAAGUCAUGAAAGUCGGUAACACCUGAAGCCGGUGGCCUAACCC